AGAAUUCAGUGAAAUGCAUGGAGAAAAAUCUGCAACGAUUGCCUUUGGCCCGCUGGAGUCUCUUUUGGCUCGGAAGUUUUCGCCUGGAGCUUGUUCCAUCGGUGAUUUGCGCCAACUUGGAAUGGCUUUCAACGAGGUUCGCCGGAAUUUACUUCAAAUUCAUCAAAACAGGGUAAUCAUUGCAAUGCUUUAAAAAAACAGGAGGACGAGGACUCGGAGGGCUCGUCAGGCCUGGCUCCGGAUGGCUCCGUGGAGGUGACGGUUUUCAUUGAGUGGUUAUUUUGCCCGAAGAAAGUGUUUUAGUGUGAAAGCGAGUGUGAAAGUUUAUUGUGGAAUAAAGGAUGAUGUGUUGUAAAUUUGUCA